rnacentral:tRNA from 1 species
CAGGGGAUAUUUUAUGUAAAAUAUUAGUUUUGGGGAUUAGUGAAAUGGCUUUAUAGUCUUUCUCCUGA